CCUAGCUGAGGACAGGCACUCCUGCCUUCCACCUAAAUUUUGCAUUUCCCGAGACACCUUGGCCCGCCAUUCCCCCGUCCUGUGCCUGUAAAAACUCCAGGCCCUAGAAGGCACACACGCACAAGUGGCUGGACUUCGUGAGGAAUUCAUAGGGGAAGAAGAUGCAAGUGGCUGGUCAUGGAGAGGACUUUUUGACGAGCGCCGGCAAAAGAGCACAGCGAAGAAAUCCCAGGAUACGGAAAG
rnacentral:lncRNA from 1 species